AGGUAAUCCAGCGGCGACUGGUGGAGGUUAUAGUAAAGGAGAAAUCCAGCGGCGACUGGUGACGAACGCAGAGACAGCCGCCAGCCAAGGGAAGCAGGUUCCAGUCAUACCGCCAGGAAGCUGGGUGUGGAUUAAGGCCCAUAAACGCAAGUGGAGUGAUCCAAGGUGGACCGGUCCUUGGGAGGUAGUAUUGGCAACGUCACACUCGGUGAAGGUGAAAGGUAAAGCGGGAGCCACUUGGCAUCAUCUCACACAUUGUGCACCUGCUAAGGCACCAAGCCAGACCCUUGCGGAGACCCGAUUAAAUACCAGGCAAGUUAAUUCAGAGCCAAAAGACACAGGAGGGGACAAAGCAGCAGAAAAUGUCUCGCCCACAGCGUAAGUAUCAGUUGGUAGUAGGGAGUUCAAGUUCAGCUCGGGGAGGUGCAGCUGUUCACACAGGUGACGAUGACAUGACGUCUGUAAGUGAUCUAUCCCAUCCCAGUCGACAAGAUGUUUCCUUACCACCUAACAUCCAAGCAGCAAUUGCUCUCACGUUGACAUUCAA